AGAACGAACGCUGGCGGCAUGCCUAAUACAUGCAAGUCGAACGAACUCUUCGGAGUUAGUGGCGCACGGGUGCGUAACGCGUGGGAAUCUGCCCCUUGGUUCGGAAUAACAGUUGGAAACGACUGCUAAUACCGGAUGAUGACGAAAGUCCAAAGAUUUAUCGCCAAGGGAUGAGCCCGCGUAGGAUUAGCUAGUUGGUGAGGUAAAGGCUCACCAAGGCAACGAUCCUUAGCUGGUCUGAGAGGAUGAUCAGCCACACUGGGACUGAGACACGGCCCAGACUCCUACGGGAGCAGCAGUAGGGAAUAUUGGACAAUGGGACAAAGCCUAGGACUCCAGCAAUGCCGCGUGAGUGA
rnacentral:rRNA from 1 species